UUUUUGGAGAGUUUGAUCCUGGCUCAGGACGAACGCUGGCGGCGUGCCUAAUACAUGCAAGUCGAGCGGAUCUUGCCCUUCGGGGCAAGGUUAGCGGCGGACGGGUGAGUAACACGUAGGCAACCUGCCCAUAAGACCGGGAUAACUGGCGGAAACGCCUGCUAAUACCGG
rnacentral:rRNA from 1 species